AUUGAACGCUGGCGGCAGGCCUAACACAUGCAAGUCGAACGAGCGGCGGACGGGUGAGUAAUGUCUGGGAAACUGCCUGAUGGAGGGGGAUAACUACUGGAAACGGUAGCUAAUACCGCAUACCAUCAGAUGUGCCCCGAUGGGAGUAGCUAGUAGGUGGGGUAAUGGCUCACAUAGGCGACGCUCCCUAGCUGGUCUGAGAGGAUGACCAGCAACACUGGACCUGAGGCACGGUCCGGACGCCGAGGGGAGGCAGCAGGGGGGAAGAUGGCACAAUGGGAGAAAGCAUGAUGCAGCCAUGCCGCGUGUGUGAAGAAGGCCUGCGGUUUGUAAAGCACUUUCAGCGGGGAGGCGUUACCCGCAGAAGAAGCACCGGCUGACUCCGUGCCAGCAGCCGCGUGAAUA
rnacentral:rRNA from 1 species